rnacentral:rRNA from 1 species
UACGUAGGGGGCAAGCGUUGUCCGGAUUUAUUGGGCGUAAAGAGCGUGUAGGCGGCCGUACAGGUCAGCUGUGAAAGCUCGAGGCUUAACCUCGAGACGUCGGUUGAAACCAUCUGGCUAGAGUCCGGAAGAGGAGUGUGGAAUUCCCGGUGUAGCGGUGAAAUGCGCAGAUAUCAGGAAGAACACCCGUGGCGAAGGCGGCUCUCUGGGACGGUACUGACGCUGAGACGCGAAAGCGUGGGGAGCGAACAGG